GAUGAACGCUGGCGGCGUGCCUAAUACAUGCAAGUCGAGCGAACAGACGAGGAGCUUGCUCCUCUGACGUUAGCGGCGGACGGGUGAGUAACACGUGGAUAACCUACCUAUAAGACUGGGAUAACUUCGGGAAACCGGAGAUAAUCCCGGAUAAUAUAUUGAACCGCAUGGUUCAAUAGUGAAAGACGGUUUUGCUGUCACUUAUAGAUGGAUCCGCGCCGCAUUAGCUAGUUGGUAAGGUAACGGCUUACCAAGGCAACGAUGCGUAGCCGACCUGAGAGGGGGAUCGGCCACACUGGAACGGAGACACGGUCCAGACGCCUACGGGAGGCAGCAGUAGGGAAUCGUCCGCAAUGGGCGAAAGCCUGACGGAGCAACGCCGCGUGAGUGAUGAAGGUCUUCGGAUCGUAAAACUCUGUUAUUAGGGAAGAACAAAUGUGUAAGUAACUAUGCACGUCUUGACGGUACCUAAUCAGAAAGCCACGGCUAACUACGUG
rnacentral:rRNA from 1 species